rnacentral:rRNA from 1 species
GAGUUUGAUCAUGGCUCAGAACGAACGCUGGCGGCAGGCCUAAUACAUGCAAGUCGAGCGCGCCCUUCGGGGUGAGCGGCGGACGGGUGAGUAACGCGUGGGAAUAUGCCCUUCUCUAAGGAAUAGCCUCUGGAAACGGAGAGUAAUACCUUAUACGCCCUUCGGGGGAAAGAUUUAUCGGAGAAGGAUUAGCCCGCGUUAGAUUAGGUAGUUGGUGGGGUAAUGGCCUACCAAGCCUAUGAUCAAUAGCUGAUUUGAGAGGAUGAUCAGCCACAUUGGGACUGAGACACGGCCCAAACUCCUACGGGAGGCAGCAGUGGGGAAUCUUGCACAAUGGAGGAAACUCUGAUGCAGCGAUGCCGCGUGAGUGAAGAAGGCCCUUGGGUUGUAAAGCUCUUUCGUCGGGGAAGAAAAUGACUGUACCCGAAUAAGAAGGUCCGGCUAACUUCGUGCCAGCAGCCGCGGUAAUACGAAGGGACCUAGCGUAGUUCGGAAUUACUGGGCUUAAAGAGUUCGUAGGUGGUUGAAAAAGUUAGUGGUGAAAUCCCAGAGCUUAACUCUGGAACUGCCAUUAAAACUUUUCAGCUAGAGUAUGAUAGAGGAAAGCAGAAUUUCUAGUGUAGAGGUGAAAUUCGUAGAUAUUAGAAAGAAUACCAAUUGCGAAGGCAGCUUUCUGGAUCAUUACUGACACUGAGGAACGAAAGCAUGGGUAGCGAAGAGGAUUAGAUACCCUCGUAGUCCAUGCCGUAAACGAUGUGUGUUAGACGUUGGAAAUUUAUUUUCAGUGUCGCAGGGAAACCGAUAAACACACCGCCUGGGGAGUACGACCGCAAGGUUAAAACUCAAAUGAAUUGACGGGGACCCGCACAAGUAGUGGAGCAUGUGGUUUAAUUCGAAGAUACGCGCAGAACCUUACCAACACUUGACAUGUUCGUCGCGACUCUAAGAGAUUAGAGUUUUCGGUUCGGCCGGACGAAACACAGGUGCUGCAUGGCUGUCGUCAGCUCGUGUCGUGAGAUGUUGGGUUAAGUCCCGCAACGAGCGCAACCCUCACUUUUAGUUGCCAUCAUUAAGUUGGGCACUCUGAAAGAACUGCCAGUGAUAAGCUGGAGGAAGGUGGGGAUGACGUCAAGUCCUCAUGGCCCUUACGUGUUGGGCUACACACGUGCUACAAUGGCAUCUACAACAGGAAGCAAAACGGCAACGUUAAGCAAAUCCCGAAAAGAUGCCUCAGUUCGGAUUGCACUCUGCAACUCGAGUGCAUGAAGCUGGAAUUACUAGUAAUCGUGGAUCAGCGUGCCACGGUGAAUGCGUUCCCGGGUCUUGUACACACCGCCCGUCACACCAUGGGAGUUGGUUCUACCUUAAGGCAAGGUUUUAAACCCUUGACCACGGUAUAGUCAGCGACUGGGGUGAAGUCGUAACAAGGUAACC